rnacentral:rRNA from 1 species
CAGUGAUAAACUGGAGGAAGGUGGGGAUGACGUCAAGUCAUCAUGGCCCUUACGAGUAGGGCUACACACGUGCUACAAUGGCAUAUACAAAGAGAAGCGACCUCGCGAGAGCAAGCGGACCUCAUAAAGUAUGUCGUAGUCCGGAUUGGAGUCUGCAACUCGACUCCAUGAAGUCGGAAUCGCUAGUAAUCGUGGAUCAGAAUGCCACGGUGAAUACGUUCCCGGGCCUUGUACACACCGCCCGUCACACCAUGGGAGUGGGUUGCAAAAGAAGUAGGUAGCUUAACCUUCGGGAGGGCGCUUACCACUUUGUGAUUCAUGACUGGGGUGAAGUCGUAACAAGGUAACCGUAGGGGAACCUGCGGUUGGAUCACCUCCUUACCUU